CUACAGCCACCUCGUCUCAGUGGGGUACUGCUUUACAAAACCAGAACUGAUCUUCACACUGGAACAAGGAGAAGAUCCAUGGUUAUUAAAGAAAGAAUUUCUAAGAAAAAGCUCCCCAGAAGACUCCCAACCUAAUCAACUCUCAGAGAAGAGCCUAGAAAACCAAGGCAAAUAUUUGUGGCAAGUUUUAUUCACCAACAAAUCAUUGACUACAGCAGAAGAGAUUUCAGAA